rnacentral:rRNA from 1 species
AACGGCCGCGGUAUCCUGACCGUGCAAAGGUAGCAUAAUAACUUGUCAUUUAAUUAAUGACUAGAAUGAAUGGCAAAACGAAAACUUAACUGUCUCUCUUAUUUAAUCAAUGAAACUGAUACUCUUGUACAAAAGCAAGAAUACUAAUACAAGACGAGAAGACCCUAUGGAGCUUUAAACCCAUUAUCAACUGUAAUAUUAACAAUAACAACUCGAUAGUUGUUUUAGGUUGGGGCGACCACGGAGCAUAAAAAUCCUCCGAGAAAAAUAACCUAAAUAACACAUUAAAGUACUAAAAAAUUUAAAUAAUUGACCCAAUAAAAUUGAUCAACGAACCAAGUUACCCUAGGGAUAACAGCGCAAUCUUCUCUAAGAGUCCUUAUCUACGAGAAGGUUUACGACCUCGAUGUUGGAUCAGGAUAUCCAAACAGU